ensembl:snoRNA
UAUAAAUGUGAUGAAUUGCACAUUCGCAGAGUCAUAGCAUUAGGGGAUGCAGGCAGUGUUUCUUUCCCGAGGAGAGAGAUGCACAGGUGCCACUCAGUCAUCAU